GAUGGACCCGCGGCCUAUCAGCUUGUUGGUGGGGUAAUGGCCUACCAAGGCGACGACGGGUAGCCGGCCUGAGAGGGUGAUCGGCCACACUGGGACUGAGACACGGCCCAGACUCCUACGGGAGGCAGCAUGUGGGGAAUAUUGCACAAUGGGCGAAAGCCUGAUGCAGCGACGCCGCGUGAGGGAUGACGGCCUUCGGGUUGUAAACCUCUUUCAGCAGGGACGAAGCGCAAGUGACGGUACCUGCAGAAGAAGCACCGGCUAACUACGUGCCAGCAGCCGCGGUAAUACGUAGGGUGCGAGCGUUGUCCGGAAUUAUUGGGCGUAAAGAGCUCGUAGGCGGUUUGUCGCGUCGGCCGUGAAAACUUGGGGCUUAACCCCGAGCCUGCGGUCGAUACGGGCAGACUUGAGUUCGGCAGGGGAGACUGGAAUUCCUGGUGUAGCGGUGAAAUGCGCAGAUAUCAGGAGGAACACCGGUGGCGAAGGCGGGUCUCUGGGCCGAUACUGACGCUGAGGAGCGAAAGCGUGGGGAGCGAACAGGAUUAGAUACCCUGGUAGUCCACGCCGUAAACGGUGGGUGCUAGGUGU
rnacentral:rRNA from 1 species